rnacentral:piRNA from 1 species
ACAGAAGCUAGUUGGGCCCACGUGGA